AAGAAACACUGUCUAGAGGACGCUCAGAAUGGACAGCACCCAGCUGCUCACGAAACCUCAGUGGGGGGUGAGAUGAACCAGGAAAUAGAUGGCCGUAGAGGCGGUGUCGACAGGGCACAGAGGAGACCCUUUGGUGAUUCUCAGGCAAGUCCAAGUUUGAGCACUGGUGUAUUCUCAGGCCUUCCAACUCCAAGUGUGGUCUAGCUUGGGACUUAUUACACGAGCAAAGUCUGGGACCCGGCACCUCGCAGCUACUGAAUCAGAAGCGCGGGUCAAGAGACCCAGGGACCACGGGCCAGUCACCUCCCAACUAGCAUAAUUGGAAAGACUCUAAGAGGCCCCGAAGUGCUGAAGUGCUGUAAAUUGGCAGCGUUCGGUUCUGAUGAACAUUAAAGGGAGUGCGUGGUUAAUUCCUCCGCUCAUGCUGAUCCCAAAGUCUUCCCACUGGGGGCUUUUGGCUUGGAGCAUCGUGGGGCCAUUUGUUCUGCCUGGAUUCUCCACCAGGCCUGAGACCUCAAGGGUGAUUGUACUGGCUGGUUUUGUGUGUUCACUUGACACAGGCUGGAGUUAUCACAGAGAAAGGAGCUUCAGUUGAGGAAAUGCCUCCCUGAGAUCCAGCUAUACUGGCCAAAGCCCGAGACUGCCAGCGUCUGGACUUGCUUUCCAGGAGACCCUGGCUUUUCUCACUCUUGGUGAAAUUUCCCUUCUCCUUCUGCCAUGCAAUAUCUUGCCUGCCACGUGACUCUUGGCUGACCUCUGUUACAAACCUGCCUGUUCUCUUAAAGCCACGAUUUACUGUCUCUCUCCUCUCCAUCUCUGUCUCCUAGCAAUUGCUGAGAUUUACAGCUGGCCUGCCCAGUUUUUCUUUCCUACUGUAAUAAAAUUGUCUUCAAGC
ensembl:lincRNA 9530026F06Rik RIKEN cDNA 9530026F06 gene